rnacentral:rRNA from 1 species
GUGGGGAAUAUUGGACAAUGGGCGCAAGCCUGAUCCAGCCAUGCCGCGUGAGUGAUGAAGGCCCUAGGGUUGUAAAGCUCUUUCAGUGGGGACGAUAAUGACGGUACCCACAGAAGAAGCCCCGGCUAACUUCGUGCCAGCAGCCGCGGUAAUACGAAGGGGGCUAGCGUUGUUCGGAUUUAAUGGGCGUAAGGCGCACGUAGGCGGAUCGUUAAGUCGAGGGGGAAAUCCUGGAGCUCAACUCCAGAACUGCCUUGGAUACUGGCGAUCUUGAGUCCGGAAGAGGUGAGUGGAACUCCUAGUGUAGAGGUGGAAUUCGUAGAUAUUAGGAAGAACACCAGUGGCGAAGGCGGCUCACUGGUCCGGUACUGACGCUGAGGUGCGAAAGCGUGGGGAGCAAACAGGAUUAGAAACCCGUGUAGUCC